rnacentral:rRNA from 1 species
UACGUAGGGACCAAGCGUUGUCCGGAUUUAUUGGGCGUAAAGAGCUCGUAGGCGGCCCUCCACGUCGGAUGUGAAAGCUCAGGGCUCAACCCUGGGAUGCCAUUCGAUACGGGAAGGCUAGAGGUAGGUAGAGGAAAGUGGAAUUCCUGGUGUAGCGGUGAAAUGCGCAGAUAUCAGGAGGAACACCGGUGGCGAAGGCGGCUUUCUGGGCCUUACCUGACGCUGAGGCACGAAGGCCAGGGGAGCAAACGGG